UGCUCCUACGGGAGGCAGCAGUGAGGAAUAUUGGUCAAUGGGCGGCAGCCUGAACCAGCCAAGCCGCGUGAGGGAAGAAGGUACAGAGUAUCGUAAACCUCUUUUGUCAGGGAACAAAGGCGGGGACGUGUCCCCGGAUGAGUGUACCUGAAGAAAAAGCAUCGGCUAACUCCGUGCCAGCAGCCGCGGUAAUACGGAGGAUGCGAGCGUUAUCCGGAUUUAUUGGGUUUAAAGGGUGCGCAGGCGGUCUGUUAAGUCAGCGGUCAAAGCCCGGGGCUCAACCCCUGCCCGCCG
rnacentral:rRNA from 1 species